rnacentral:lncRNA from 1 species
UUUUUUUUUUUUCCUUUUGGCCAACUCACAGCAUAUGGAGUUCCCAGGCCAGGGAUCAAAUCCUAUCCGAAGAUGCAACCUACAUGGCAAUGCCAGAUCCUUUAACCCACUGUGCCGGUCUGGGAAUGGAACCUGCGUGCUGCUGCUGCAGAGACGCUGCCAAUCCUACUGUGCCACAGCGGGAACUCCAUGGCACCCUAUUGCUUUUUUUUUUUUGUCUUUUUGUCUUUCCUUGGGCCGCUCCCAUGGCAUGUGGAGGUUCCCAGACUAGAGGUCCAAUCAGAGCUGUAGCCGCCAGCCUACACCCCAGCUCACAGCAAUGCCAGAUCCUUAACCCACUGAGCAAGGUCAGGGAUUGAACCCACAACUUCAUGGUUCCUAGUUGGAUUCGUUAACCACUGAGCCAUGACGGGAACUCCAGUGGCACACUAUUCUUAAACAUUCAGUUCUCUUUCAGAGUAAGACCCUCAACGCCACAACUAAAACUAUGAAAGUAGCCAGUUUGAAAUGUCAGAAUAUUAUCACAUGGGAAAGCCCAAGAUUUUCAAGAUGCAGCUACUUUGAAGAAUUAUUUGUUUUUUACUUACUGAACAAUCCUCUAACGUGUAUCCCUGAGCCCUUCCCAGAGUCCAUCGUGACACUGAUCUGAGCUGAAGUUUCACAAGAGGAGUCACACACAGCAGGAAUAACUCCAUACCCUAUCAGUGGUUAUUUCAUUAUAUAUUAUCUUCCUUUUCUACGUGAAGUAUAUAUUAUUUUUACAAUCUGAAAAAAUAAAACUAUUUGCAUUAAAAAUAUCCUUUUCAUGGGCUAUAGUGACAUGCUAGGCAUGAUGUUACUUAUUUGUCUUUUUUUACUUUCCUGUAUUUCCCCGUUUGCUAAACUCAGCACAAAUUACUUUCAUAAUAAAGAAAGGAUGAGAAAUAUACAAACAAAAUGGUCCUGAAUUUUAAAGUUGAUCAAAAUUUGGAAGCUUCGGAAAAAAGAAUUUAAAUAAUAAUAGGAACUUGGGGGGCAUGUUGUUUUAACUAAUGAAAAUAUGAAACUGAGUCUGCAGUUGUCGUGAGACAAGGUCUGCUGUCUACCCGUGUGGAAAGGUCAAAAUCCAAAUGUGAUUUGAAGAGUCCAAGAAACUCCCACCACCCAAUGCGCCCGCGCCCCGCCGCAUCAUUAUCCAUCACCAUUGUAAUAAGCCCUUCAUUUGACACCACUCCAUAAUCACAUCUUGAUUUUCCUAAAAAGGUAGAAACAUUUUUAAAGCCAGAGAUUACGCAUUUUUGCAUCCUUAGCAAAAGCAUUGUUCAGCCUUUAUAAAGUCAUUGGACUUUGAGCGUGUCAUAUCAAAACAGUCUUAAAAGAUGAUACACAACCUUAAGUAACUGAAUGUACUAGAGGCAAAGCUUUAAACAAAGAUAAUUCAUUUUAUUAGAUUAAAAAACAUGCCCCAAAGGCUAUUUUGCCUCUAAGAACCAUAAUGUAUAAUAUAAUUCAACGUCUCUUCUAAAAUUUCCCUUAAUGCUGGUUUUUUAAAGAAGGGAAAAAAAAUAGAACCUUUUAUGCUUUGAGUUAUAAAAUGUCUUCCUAAAAAAGAAUUCAUUUUUUUUCUUAUUAACAUGAUCAUUUUUAAAACAUUGUCAGGCAAUCUAUUUCUUUUCUUUUAUGGUUUUUUGAACAAAGAGUCAGACAUUCAAUAUAUCAGGAGUUGCCAAUGUGGCGCAACAGGAUUGGUGGUGUAUUGGGACUGCUGGGUCGCAGGUUUGAUCCCUGGCCCAGCACAGCAGGUUAAGGAUCCAGCGUUGCCACAGCUGUGGCGCAGGUCACAACGGCAGCUUGGAUCUGAUCCCUGGCCCGGGAACUCCAUGUGCUGUGGGGCAGCCACAAGAGAAAAAAAAAAAAAGAAAGAAAGACAUUCGAUACAUCAUAGCACCUUCUAGUUUAUCUUUGCAAAAUCUAAUGUACGCGCUACAUUCCAAAAAAGUCCAGGCAAGUCAACUGGAUGGUCUUUUUCAGAUGAAUUUAGUUUCAUUUGCUACCACCCGCUGGGUAUUUAUAAUGAUAAUAAAAAUAUCCAUCUCCCAGACUGUGAUGGUGUCAUGUGAUUGAGAACCUCCUCGGAGCCUUAUGUAACUGACAUUCCAGCUAUUGCUGUGCCUGCAGGUAAUUCUCGCAGUUCUCCCUGGCUCCUAGUACCCAGCAUCCCUGGCCUUCCUCCCAAGCCCUAUUCACUUCCGUUCAUUUCCCCUCUUCUGUUGCCUCUCAGUUUAAGUGUCCCUUCUUCCAGGAAGCCCUCGCUGACCACUCAAGGAGACUGGCUUCCUCUCUUCCUCUCUUGCGCUUCACAGCAACCUGUGCCCUUCCUUGCCAGCAUGCCUCGCAGUUUGUCAUGAAAUGAUUUUCUUUUUUUUUUUUUUGUCUUGUUGUUGUUGUUGUUGUUGUUGUUGCUAUUUCUUGGGCCGCUCCUGCGGCAUAUGGAGGUGGCAGUGGAGGAUGAGGUGUGAGGAGAAAGGGUCGUGGGAAGAAAGACGGGCGACACCAGUUCACUGUGUAUGAGCUGAUUUGAUCACCUGCCCUUUGACCCAGAGGCACAGAGGGCUCUUCUCAAGGGCUGUAGGAUAAACAUCAAUUUCCUACAACAAUGUACAAGAUAGCAAGGGAAACGUCCUGACUAGUGACAAGCUCUUCUCACUCCAGACCUCACCAUACGAUCCCCAUGUUUUCUGAUAUUCUGCUAAAAGGAGGUGGGAAAGUGAAAGUCCCUGACAUUUAUGUCCUGGUACUUCCUUUACAUCUUGCUAGAAAUGUUUGUCAUUCCUCAACUGAUAGAAAUCCAUUGUAAAGUCAGGCCUAGAUGAAUGGAUUAAGAAGAUGUGGCAAUAUAUACACAAUGCACAAUGGAAUACUACUCAGCCAUAAAAAGGAUGAAAUAAUGCCAUUUGCAGCAACAUGGAUGCAAUGAGAGAUUCUCAUACUAAGUGGUAAGUCAGGGAAAGACAAACACCAUAUGUUAUCACGUACAGGUGGAAUCUAAAACAGGACACAAAUGAGCCUAAUACAAAUAGAAACAGACUCACAGAAAAAAAGAGCAGAAUUGUGGUUGCCAAGCAGGAAGGGAAGGAGUGGGAUGGAAGGGGAGUUUGGGGUUAGUAGGUGCAAAGUAGUCCAUGUAGAAUGAAUAAGCAGUGAGGUCCUACUGUACAGCACAGGGAACUAUAUUCAUUCUCAUGGGAUGAACCAUGACAGAAAAGAACAUAAAAAAAAGAAUACAUAUAUGUGUGUGUGUGUGUGUGUGGAUAUAUAUGUGUGUGUGUAUACAUACAACUGAGUCACUUUUCUGUAAAGCAGAAAUUGGUACAUUGUUUUUUUCUUUUCUUUUCUUUUUUUUUUUUUUUUUUUUGUUGCCCUGUGGCAGCAUAUGGAAUUUCCAGGCCAGGGAUCAGUUCCAAGCCUCAGCUGGACUGCAUGCCAGAUCCUUUAACCUAAUAAGCCAGGCCAGGGAUCCAACCUGCAUCCUGGCACGGCAGAAACAUCACCAAUUCCACUGUACCACAGCAGGAACUCCAGAAAUUGGCACAACACUGUAGAUCGACUCUAAUUUAAAAAUGACCAAAAAUAAAUAAAGGCCUAGAAAAUUACAAUUUGUUUAUGUGCAUGUCUCUCUGACACCAAUAGAUGCCAGAAGGUCUCUUUCUCAGUCCCUCUAAGAAGGCACAGUGAUGAGCUAGCUGCUGCUCUGUACUUUGGUCUCUGCCUC